rnacentral:lncRNA from 1 species
AAAGAGAAGCAAUUAGACAUACUGCUCUUCAGAGUCAAGUUCAUAUAUGAUGGAUUGUGAAAUAACUCAGGGCAGAGAGGGAGCCAACAAUCUUCCCUCUGCGUAAUAAAGCUGAUGAAAGUAUUUCACAAGAAACAGAGUCAAAGUUAUGUCAAGGGGAGGAACAACAUCUCUUUGCAGAUCAAAAAGAGCAAAGCCAACUCUUCAGUUCACCCAGGGCAUCUAGCCACUGUCUGGAGAAGAAGCUCUAGAGCUUCUGCCUCCUCAUACAUGAGACUAGAUCCUGAAGGACAAGCAAACACAGGGGUGGUCCCUCGCCCAUUCAUCACUGACAUUCAGUGACGAAGGCUGUGAAAUUUUUAAGACCUGAGACUGAGCUUGGAACUUAAAGAUUUCCAAAUGAGAGGGAAUUCUAAAGGCAGAUGAAAAGUACUAGAAGUGGAAAGGAAUGAAAGAGUAAGAACUCUUAGUAGAGGGAGAUGAGUAGAAAGUUUAGGAUCAAGAGAUGUCUGCAAGGCACCCUCACAUUGCCUGGGAAAUAUCAAGGACAUGGUGAGCUGGUGAAACCAGGGAAGGGAGGAAGAGACUGUUCAAGGCAAUGGCCUGCUGGCGGGAGGAGGAGGUUGCUAAAUUCAGCUUGGAGGAACUCCGCACAUCAAAGAACUGGUUUGCUGAAGCUCCACUCCCAGGCCUUUCUGAAUCACUCAGCAGAGCCAGACACAAUAAGCCUGUUGCUUGAAUUACCCAGCCCAUUUCUCCACUUUCCCCUUUUGCUUUGUCAGCAGGAACCUUACCCAUGUGCAUGUAAGCACUGCUCACAUUUGCAUGCAAGAGCCAUCUGUUUAUUUUGCACAGUCUGGCUGGGACCUUCUCUGAAUAUUUUUCUGGUCAUCUUGAUCUUGAACAACCCUUUAACUACUCCCAUCUCAAGGCUCUUUCUCACAAGACUUUCUGUUCUGGGAUAAUGUGUCCCGGGGCAGAGAUUAGGACUAUGCCAGGGAGAUAAAAAUGUUGCCAGAGCAGUGGUGGGACCGUGCCCAUCCCACCUGCCCUGGCUCUGCUUAUUUACAAGCUCACUACUUGGCCCCACCACCUCCCUCUCCAUGCAUGUUCAUCGCUCAUCAGAAACCAUGACUGAAUGUGGGGGCAUGGGUCAUUCAGCCAAUCAUAGCUGUACAGCUGGAGACUAUUUAUCAACCUUGGAACAAAUUCAUAUCAAACCUGAGGUUAUAUUGAUGAGACAUUUAAAUAUGCAUUUAAUUCAGCUCAAUGACUAAAGAAUUCCAUUAUCUGAAAUUCUGUCUAUUGGUUUGACUGCUGUUUUACAAAGUUAACUGACUCUUUAGUUCAUGUUGAUAUAUCCUGUGAGUAGCUUCUUCUCAAAAGUAGAAUAUUUCCCUGCUCAAGGUCAACGUGUCUUUGGAGCAUUCAGGGAAACUAAGGAAAGGGCCUCAAGACCUUAUGGAAAGAGCAAAUGGGGAGAGGGUUGGCUUAGAAAAAUGGUUCACAUUUUUCAUUUUUGCAUAUUGCGCUUGUAAUCACAGAGUCUAAGAAUACUGACAUGUGAUGAGGAGGGGGAUUUCAUGCACAAAGCAGGAAUAAAAGUAGCUAAAAUUUCACACUGGAGUAAUUACAAUAUCACCUUCUUUUCCAAUAUUAUUCCAUCAUUGGCAUUCAAUCAAAUAAAUCCCUCAGUAAAAGCCACUUCGACCAAUACUGUAUAAGAAAAGAAGCCUGACCUUCUAAUAAUUUUCAGAUGGUCUCACAUAAUUCAUAACAAUUGAACACUUAUUAAGUAUAGGUAUUGUAUUAAGGACUUUGAAAAUGUUAUCUUGUUCAAUUAAUCAUUACUUCCUUUCAUCUACUAACUUUAGGCUUUUUCUGUUUCUAGUUCCUAUAAAUUUAAAGUUUGGUGCUUUGUUUGAAAUUUUUCUCAUUUUUUGAGAUAAGCCUAUAUUACUCUCAGCUUCCAUCUUAGAACAGCUUUUGCUGUAUCCCAUAGAUUUUAAAAUGUUACAUUUCCAGUUUCAUUUUUCUCAACAUGUAUUUUACUUCCCCUUUGAUUCCUUCAUUAACCCAUUGGUUUUAGUACCAUGUUGUUUAGUCUUCACCACGCGUGUCUUUUCCAGUUUUCUUCUUGUUGAUUUCUAUUUUUAUAUCAUUGCAGCUAGAAAAGCUGCUUGAUAUGCCUUUAUUAUUUGUUUAUCUUUUCCAACGAUAUGUUUACAUUCACAUAUUUUCUUAGUAUUGAUUAAUCAGUGCCUUUUCUUUGUGACUUAGAGAAGUCUGUUUAACAUUUCUUGUAGGAUUGAUAAUGAACUCCUUUAUUGUUAUUCAGUUGCUAAGCUGUGUCCAACUCUUUGCAACCUCAUGGACUGCAGCACACCAGGCUUCCUUGUCUUUCACUAUCUCCCAGAGUGUGCUCAAAUUCAUGUCCAUUGACUCAAUGAUGUCAUCCAACUAUUUCAUCCUCUUCUCUUUUGCCUUCAGUCUUUCCCAGCAUCAGGGUCUUUUCCAAUGAGCCAGCUCUUCGCAUGAGGUGGCCAAAGUAUUGAAACUUCAGCUUCAGCAUCAGUCCUUCCAAUGAAUAUUCAGGACUGAUUUCCUUUAGGAUGGACUGGUUGGAUCUCCAUGCUGUCCAAGGGACUCUCAAGAGUCUUCUCCAACACCACAGUUCAAAAGCAUCAAUUCUUCAGUGCUCAGCUUUCCUUAUUGUCCAACUCUCACAUCCAUAUACGACUACUGGA